AACUGAGAUAAAAAUGUUAGAAGUAUCUUGAGUCCUUUCCAAAUGAGACAUUAUCUACAAAACUCUAUUGGAGGCUCAGGUAUCUCUUUAUUCUUUCCCGAACUUCAGCUUUUUUAUGGUUAGUUACAGGUUUAGUGUGUUUCUACAGAGUGUAUAAAUGAAUGUAUUUAUAACGUGUGCAGUAAAGGUCACUAUUACUGCCUUUAAAUACUGAGGGUUGUUUAUGUUAUGCAUAGAGUGACAUACAAAUAAGAAUCACACUCUUGUUGCUGUUCUUGACUGUCUGCUUCCAAUUUUGCUUCUCAGGGGCUAUUUGAUUGCAGCACCUUCUGUUUUCCGCUCUGGUGUUGAGGAAGCGAUAAGUGUAACCAUCUUUAACUCUGUCAAGGAGACAACAGUUCAGAUUCAGUUAGUGGUGAAAGGAGAAACUGUGUCACGAAGCCAUGGAACAGUUCUGGAUAAAGGAACAAUUAAGCUGAAGGUGAGUAUCAAUUAUUUUAAGAUGGUUUUGGUGAAAACAUGAGGGACUUGCUUUCAACCACAGCAGGUAUUGCUCCCUGAGCAACUGCAGCACAAAUGCCACAUUCUGGUGUACACACCAAAGAGGAAGCAACCUUCACAAGAGUAAGAAUGGAGACAGAAAAGAACAAAGCUUAAUCCAUCACAGCUCAUCUGUCAGGUCCUUACACCAUUAAAGAAAAUGUGUACAAGA